rnacentral:rRNA from 1 species
AGCGAACGCUGGCGGCAGGCUUAACACAUGCAAGUCGAACGGGCACUUCGGUGUCAGUGGCAGACGGGUGAGUAACACGUGGGAACGUACAUUUUGGUUCGGAACCACUGAGGGAAACUUCAGCUAAUACCGGAUAAGCCCUUACGGGGAAAGAUUUAUCGCCGAAAGAUCGGCCCGCGUCUGAUUAGCUAGUUGGUAGGGUAAUGGCCUACCAAGGCGACGAUCAGUAGCUGGUCUGAGAGGAUGAUCAGCCACAUUGGGACUGAGACACGGCCCAAACUCCUACGGGAGGCAGCAGUGGGGAAUAUUGGACAAUGGGGGCAACCCUGAUCCAGCCAUGCCGCGUGAGUGAUGAAGGCCCUAGGGUUGUAAAGCUCUUUUAUGCGGGAAGAUAAUGACGGUACCGCAAGAAUAAGCCCCGGCUAACUUCGUGCCAGCCGCCGCAGUAA